rnacentral:rRNA from 1 species
UACUCGAGUGGCGAACGGGUGAGUAACACGUGGGUGAUCUGCCUUGCACUUCGGGAUAAGCCUGGGAAACUGGGUCUAAUACCGGAUAGGACCAUGCUUUAGUGUGUGUGGUGGAAAGUUUUUUCGGUGCAAGAUGAGCCCGCGGCCUAUCAGCUUGUCGGUGGGGUAAUGGCCUACCAAGGCGACGACGGGUAGCCGGCCUGAGAGGGUGUACGGCCACAUUGGGACUGAGACACGGCCCAG